rnacentral:rRNA from 1 species
UCCAACGUUAAUCGGGGCAGGGUGAGUCGACCCCUAAGGCGAGGCUGAAAAGCGUAGUCGAUGGGAAACGGGUUAAUAUUCCCGUACUGGUGGUAACUGCGAUGGGGGAACGGAGAAGGCUAGGUUGUCCGGGCGACGGUCGUCCCGGUUCAAGCAUGUAGGCAGAGUGAUUAGGCAAAUCCGGUCACUUAAUGCUGAGGUGUGAUGACGAACCACUAAGGUGGUGAAGCAAUUGAUGCCCUGCUUCCAGGAAAAGCCUCUAAGCUUCAGGUUACCAACAAUCGUACCCCAAACCGACACAGGUGGUCAGGUAGAGAAUACUCAGGCGCUUGAGAGAACUCGGGUGAAGGAACUAGGCAAAAUGGUGCCGUAACUUCGGGAGAAGGCACGCUGGCGGUAAGUGAAGUCCCUCGCGGACGGAGCCGAAGCCAGUCGAAGAUACCAGCUGGCUGCAACUGUUUAUUAAAAACACAGCACUGUGCAAACACGAAAGUGGACGUAUACGGUGUGACGCCUGCCCGGUGCUGGAAGGUUAAUUGAUGGGGUUAUCCUUAG